CCUACGGGAGGCAGCAGUGGGGAAUAUUGGGCAAUGGGCGAAAGCCUGACCCAGCAAUGCCGCGUGAAGGAAGAAGGUUUUCGGGUUGUAAACCUCUUUUGACUGGGAAGAGCAGAAGACGGUACCUGUCGAAUAAGCCACGGCUAACUACGUGCCAGCAGCCGCGGUAAUACGUAGGUGGCAAGCGUUGUCCGGUUUUACUGGGUGUAAAGGGUGUGUAGGCGGUCUGACAAGACAGAUGUGAAAUCCGGGGGCUCAACUCCGGAACUGCAUUUGAAACUGUUGGUCUAGAGUAUCGGAGAGGCAAGCGGAAUACCUAGUGUAGCGGUGAAAUGCGUAGAUAUUAGGAAGAACACCAGUGGCGAAGGCGACCAGCUGGACGACAACUGACGCUGAGGCGCGAAAGCGUGGGGAGCAAACAGGAUUAGAUACCCGAGUAGUC
rnacentral:rRNA from 1 species